GAAAGAGCACGACACUCAAACACACACCUCUACCAAUGGCAUCGGGCAAGUUUCUGGACACAUCUUCCAUUUACAUAAGAAGACCUGCACCAUAAUACAUGAGCUGGUACAAAAUCAGUGAUUUUCUUAGCUUAUAGCCUUCUUAAUUCAUGGAAUUUCAAUAGCGUUGAAUCGCAAUGUCAUACCCACUACUCCCUUCGUUCCUAAAUAUAAGUCU
rnacentral:lncRNA from 1 species